GUUUUCUUCUAUCAUGUUUAUCAUUUAUUUUCAAUUUAAUUUUAUAUCUAUAUUUUAAAAACUAUGUUUUUGUACAGAGUUUGCAAUGGGGAUGAAUAGUCCAUUUCUAAUUACUGAUUUGAUUCUGUUAUUACACACUUUUUAAAUGAAUUACUUCCCUUUUGGAAUCGUAGACUGGUUCCAUACUGGACAAAAAUUGGCUUUUGCUAUUAAAAAGCAUAGCAAAUUGAAAGUGGUGUAUCGGCGGUUCAACUAAUUUUUCACUUAAAACAAUUUCUGAUGACAAAAGUAUUUAGCUUAACAACAAAUUAAUGUAAUUGAAAGAUUUGAAAACCUUAAAGAUUACUCACAUUACGCACAGGUAAAUUUGCUCUUUUUGCUAGGUCUCCAUUGUACAUAAAAAUUAAUGUUCCUCAUAAGGGAGACAACUUAAAAGGGAUCUCUAAUAACAGGGUCAAUUGACGUAAUUAGCAAAAUAGCCUAUUGUGAUAAGUCUGUUCUGUGAACAUUCAGUCCACAUGUCAUUUACUUUUUAUGAGUCAAACGUAAAACUCACUUGACAGUCAAUAAUCAUAUGAAAAAAAUUGUAAUAUUCUCUCUAGAUUUUUAAUCUCACAUUUUAAGGUGUUCUUUCCAAAAUCUGUCAGUUCUUUCAGCCUAAAAUUUAUAUCUCUAAAUGAAAGAAGUGUUUCACUAGAGUGUAAUAUGAGUAUAUUUUUAAAGGUUUUAAAUUAGAGAAAUUGAAACUUAUGAUUAUGUGAUGAUAACAGAUAAGAUUUAUGGCAUGUAUUUGUUAAGUGAUUCAGACUACUGGUACAAGGUAGAAAGUAUACAUAGUUAAAGGGGUUUUCUACUCUAACUGUAAUCAAAGUCUUUUACAUUGUUUACCUUCAGUAGUAUUGUUAAAUGCUUCACAAGAGAACCUUGUAUGUUUUUUGGCAGAACUAAUAAGUUUGAGAAUCUUAUUUUGAAACAGUACUUUUUAUAAACAUUUUUUAAUCUUCACGCAUCCACUAAGAUAAACUGAAUAUCGGUGAAAUUCAUGAAUUGUCUGGUUUGAUUGGCUCCUUGGGGUUUACCACAACCAAUCAUUCAUUAGAAAAUUUAUGUAGAAAACUGCAAUUUUCUUUCCAUGGAUUAAGAUAACAAAUUAAAAUCCGCAAAUAGAAAAUAAACUUUUAGAAAGAUGCAUCUUCAACCAGCUAAAAGUAGUGCAUUUAUGGUAAUAAAAUAUUUCACAUUGUAAAGUUAUGAACAGGGAAAUAUUCAUCAAAUUUUAAUCAGUUAAAAUGCAUCAAUCAGGGGAAUUAAUUAAAAGGAGGAAACAGAUCACCUAAUCAGUUGUCAAAGCUUUUAUUAGAUAUUUUGUCAUAUAUUGAUAGCAUAUUGUCUGGCUCUUGAAAGACAAUUUUAGUCUAUAGAAUGUUGUGAAUGCAGUCAUUGAGACAUGUAUACAGAUAUCCAUUAAGUCUGGUUAAAUAGAGUCAAUUCACAUCGUAGAAUUGCAGGAGAGGUCCCUCCUGUAACUUGUGCUGAACAAAUAUUUGCCCUGGAAGAAUUGUUAAUAUGUUCUGCAAUUUUAAGUGUUUUACAAGCAGAAAAAUCUAUAAUUGCUGAGUAAUAAAACUGCAAAUGAUUUUUUUUUUCAUAUUUAAAUUAACCUCGAAUCAUUAAAGUACACUUACGUUGAAAUUACCUUAACAGAAAUAAAAGUUUUUUUGUGAGGAUAGUUACAAUGAAAUUUAUUUGUGAAUGUACAGGGUUAAACAGGAUGUAAAAGUUUGUAUUAAAAGUACAUAUUUUUCUAUUAAGCCUUAUGGUUAAAGACUCUAAGGUCAUAAAUGAGUUAAAAUGGCAAGAUUAUGUAACAUUCCUUCUUCAGUACAACUCGCAUGGAUUUGUCAUUUCAAACCAUCCAUGAUAGCAGUAAGCAAAGAUUGGCCAAUGGGACAAACUUCUGUUAAAUUCUCUACCCAAUCUUGUAUAGAUUGAGAUUAUCAAAAUUUGGAAAAACAAUUUGAGCUUUUGAAAUCAAUAUUUUAAAAUUCAACUGUCAAUUACUGAUAUUCAGAUUUUAUAAGUAGAUACUGGAUGUUAAAAACUUCAGAACGUAAAACUUUUCAGUACAACAAGGAACAUGUAAACCUCCUUAUGAAACAUCUAACACAGCUUCUGAUAGAUGGACAAAUGAAGGACUUUCUUCACUAUAUUUUCCCAACUCUUAAAAAUUAGCUUAAAUUUAGAUAUGUUACACUCCCUUUUGAUGAUGGAAACUGCUGUAAUUCUGUAAAACUUUCUGAAUUUUCAUCUGAAAGUGAUGGGUACAGAUUGUAAUCUCAAGGCUGAAAAUUUGUUUAAUAGAAUAUUACAAUAAGGGGUAUAAAAUAAGAAUAGUUUAGCAAUUAUCAACCUAUAUUGAUCCAACUACUUUAGUAUGAUUCUUGACUUUAGAACAUGUCACUGUAUCAAGUGUAUGUGUUUGUCAUGUUUACAAUGUUUAAUAUUAAUUGCCAAUCAUCAUACAGAAAUUUGCUGUAUAAAUGAUAAAAAGAUAAGAAGGGGCUUGAGGCACAUUAAUUUUUUCAUUGUUCAAUUUUGUAAUCGAGGACAUGCUGUUCCUUACACAAGCAUUCAUUGUGUAACAGCAUCUUGCCUUGGAGGAUGUCACUUUAUCUUUGCCAAGUGCUAAUGACACCAUCAUUGUUGUGCAAGGUAUCAAUAGUUAUACAAUAACGUCAUUUCUUAGAAUGGAAAAGUCAGCCUUAUGUUCAAUUAGCUCAGUGAAGAAAAAAAAUACAUGGAUUUUGGCGCUGAAUGUCAUUUAAUAUUAUUGAUUUGAUAGCUAUGAUGUUAAUUUCUACGGGAGAAAUAUAUUCAAUUCACUGCAUAUUGUAUAACAUAGAAAUUUGCCUCAGGGGAUAUUGGUAUUCAUAAUUUUCUCAUAUUUUAUAAUCAGUUUUGUAGAGGAAUAAUAAAUAGUUAAAUGUAAAGCGAGAUUUGUAUGAUUUUGACUCAUCAAUUUUUAAAUAAAAAUAAGGGAACUGUCUUAUUUAAAACCAUCAUGUUAAAUGUUACAUGUUUAAAAGUUUUGUGGUUUUUAUCUCACUCCUGAUAAAGGUGUUAAACAAAGUACACAAACCUUGAAUACUUUCAUCCUUUAAACUAUGUAUUUACAUUAUAAUGUCCAGAAAUAAGAACAUAAAAGUCCGCUUAGAAAAGGAUGGCCAGUUUGAACCAUAUCAUACGUAGAUAUGCUGUAAAUGGUAGAAAAAUCUAAUAUGAAGAUUUAUUCAAUUUAAUUUACAAUAAUAUCGAUGUUAACAGUUAUAUCCUUAACUUCGUUGAAUUCCUUGGAAACAGUUUAGGGUUGUUUUUUUUUAAAACAUAUUAUUGUGAUCGAAGCUUAAAUUUUUUUUUUUACAAAUUCAUUCCAUCAAAAUCCAAAAGCCUUGGGCAAGUCAGAUUUUCUGUCAAUAUGAACAGUAUGUACCCUAAACAGUGCAGGUAGUCAUCUCUAAAAUGUUUAAGGUUAAAUUUGCUAGGUCAUACUUAAUUCAAGUUCAAUUUUAUAUAUUUUUUUAUAUUCCCACUGACAUGAGCAGCUUCAGGUACUUAAAACAUUUUAAGCAUUAUUAAGGAUACUAUAAUGUUGAUAUUUCGCAUUAAGACUUAAAAAAAAAUAUACAGUAUUGUCAUAGGUUAAGUUGCAGAUACUUUUGAUAUAAAUUGUAUGAUGUAGUAUUUGUAUGAAAAGAUGAAUUUCGGAAUAACAUGUUGCAUUAAUUGUCUGUCAUUUUGUCCAUUUGCAAUAUCAAUUACAUUUUAAAAAGAGUAAGGACUGUUUUGGAAGAAUAAAACAUGAAAUUUCUUCAAUUUGAACACUUUCUGUUUAAAUAAUAUGAAUAUUGAGAAAAAUAACAUGUCAUUCUAAUUAUUAUUACAGCUUUUUAUCAGUUUUAUUAUUUUGUUUUGUUGUUUGUUUAUUUAAAUAUCAAUUCUUAUUUAGUGCUUGUUUAUUUUUUUGCUCAAUUAUACUAGGGGAGGUUACUCUAUCUUUAUUCAGAUGUGCACACAUUGCUGAAUUUGUUAUCUACCUUGAUAAAGGGAAGCAUGUGAUUUGAAAAUUGUCCGGUGAAGAAUAGGAGAUUUAACAACAUCAAUAUUUUAAAUGAUCAGCCUGUUAAGUUUGAAAUAUAUAUUAUAUAUAUAUAGGUAAAAUAAAACAUAGAAAAAUGACAGGAGGUCAAGGGCACUAUAACACAUUUUUAUUGAAAAAAUGAUGAAGUAUCUACUUUUAUCUUCUUUUACAUCUAUUCUCUAUCUUAUUGUUGUCUUCCCUCUGUAUGGCUUUUUAAUGAUUAUGUUUUUGUGCAUUGUCAUUUUUAUUGAUUCAUGAAUGGUCAGUGCUUGUAAGUGUGGAACAUUUUAAUUUGUAUAUAGAUUGCAGCUUGUAUAAUUUUAUAUUCAUUUUGCUGUUUUACACAUAAUAUUCAUAUUUUCUGUAUAUUUUUGUUUGUUGUAUUAUAGUGCAAUGUUUUUUUCUCUUUUUUAUAUUAAAUUUCUAAUUUUUAAACCUAAAUGGCAUGGGAUUUAGAAUUGUUUUGUAAAAUCUUGAUGUUCAUUGAACAUUUUUAUAGCCAUUAAAAAUGUACUUAAUAAUAGUUUAUUCAUUUCUGGUAAACAAAUUGAUAUUUUGUAAAAUUUCAAGGUUUUGAUAUUGAUUUUAUUAAUUUAUUUUAGAUAACAAAAACAAUCAUUUUCAUCCUGUAAUAUUUAACAUUCUAACGACACAUUUUAGAAAUCAAUUAAACAAAAUUUGAAUUUAUACAAUUGAAAAUUAGCUUAGUAUAUUCUAUUCUUGUUUUAAAAAAUAACAAUAGGAAAGCUGAUUGUAUUGUCUCUUUAUUUGCUCAAUUUAUUAUGUGCACAGAUUUAUCAGGAAAUUCUGAAUGUGAAACUGCUUUUUCUGUUCUCAUUAAGGAUUCACAUUUAUUCAUGACCUCCCCGAACAAUAGCAAUAGUCUUAUUUUCACAUUUUUCAUUUUGUUUGAUUGUCAAGUUGAUUUAUGUUAUAUAGGGCUUAAUAAUAAAUUAUUGAAGACAUUGCAGCAAUGUUAUUUUAAGUUUUUUCAUCUGUUUGAACUUUGAAGAAAUGUACAAGUUCAAAGGUCAAGAAAGGUUCUGUAACUACAUGUUCUUCAUUAAAAAGUGCAAAAGUAAGAGGUGUGGAAAGUGUUAAGAUGAUCAGAGAUUAUUUAAAAUCAAGUUUUACACAGACUUUCUUCCUGUUCAUGUACUUUCUUUUUAGUACCAUGAGAUAUAUGGGAAAAAUUGUUCAUGUAAUAGAUAUUUCUGAUUUCUAUAUCUAUUGUAUUUUUUUUUGUUGCAGUGUUUUUAUUGUUUAAAUUUUAUCUAGUGAUGAGGAUGGUACCAAAGUCUAUUUAUAGAAAAUGUUUUACCAGUUAUCUCUCCUGAUUUUAUAGAAAAAUGUUGAACUCAAAUUAUUUUAUAAAUAAUACACUGCAUUUUGAAAUACCAUUGAAAGGUUUUGUUUUUAUUAUUACAGAAUAUCACAGAUUGAUUUAUUUUUGCAACUCAAAAAAAGUCAAAUCUGCAGGAAAUUAUUUAAACCCAAACCAUAUUGAUUUUGUAAAGCAACCGUUUCUGAUAUUCUGGUAAGUUUAAUGUUUUCAAAAUGUGUAAAUGCACUGGUACUUUCAGUCUUCAAAGCUGAUCACAGAAGUACUAAAAUGUCUGACCUGUUUUACUUGGACAUAGAGAUAAGCUCUUAUCGAGACUAUCUGUCGAGUCUUACCACUAGAACAAGUGUCAAAAAGUCUUGUCAUUCCUACCUGUUGUAAGUGAAUUCCCUUUCAAUGGUAUUUUUAGAUACAGAGUAAGUUUGUUACUAAUUGUAUUAGAUUGUUCAAAAUAAAUUUAUCAUACAUUGAAUAAUUACUAAAUCUGUCAUAUCAAUUGUUGUCAUUUUUGUUACAGAUUUUGUAAAAAGAAAUAUAUAUAUAUAUAUAUAUAUGCAUUAAAUUUUUAUACGACCGCAAAAUUUGAAAAAUUUUUCGUCGUAUAUUGCUAUCACGUUGGCGUCGGCGUCGUCGUCGUCGUCGUCGUCGUCGUCGUCGUCGUCGUCGUCGUCCUGCGUCCGAAUACUUUUAGUUUUCGCACUCUAACUUUAGUAAAAGUGAAUGGAAAUCUAUGAAAUUUUAACACAAGGUUUAUGAC
rnacentral:lncRNA from 1 species